GGGCAGGAUAUGUGAAGUAGGCCCACCGGAAAUCCGGUGUUCCUUCUUCACUUUCCCUUAUUCGCACCUUCGGUACUCAACGGGAAUCCUGCUCUGCGAGGCU
rnacentral:ncRNA from 1 species